GGAGUUUCUGACGUUCGGUUAUAUAGAUCUCUGUGGGAAAUAAGCUGCGUCACUUUGCCUUCACAACUUUGAAGAGGAACAUUACCAAAUAAAAUGGCUACAGCAUGCUGUAAGAAAUGUGGGUUGAUGAAAAACUACAAUGGAUCAUUACCGUAUAGAUGUAAGUGUGACCCUGAGGAAGAGCCCAACCCUUUUCCUCUGGCAUUGUGUCAGUCAAACAACAGCAUCCAGAAGUCCAUGGUCGCACCAACAAACGGGGUAAUGACUCGAUUUCACAACAACAUUGAGCAAGGUGUUCAGACAUAUCAACGUGUGAUC